GAUGAACGCUGGCGGCGUGCUUAAUACAUGCAAGUCGAACGGAAAGGCCCUGCUCUUGCGGGGUGCUCGUGUGGCGAACGGGUGAGUAACACGCGUGUAACCCGCACUUGUAUUAGGGAUAAAUUCAGGAAACAGGGGCUAAUAUCGGAUAGGAGAUCCUGCUGCACGGGGGGGGUUGGAAAGAUUCGGCGGUUGGGGAUGGACUCGAGGCUUAUCCGCUUGUUAGGCGGGUAGUGGCUUACCAAGUCUUUGAAGGGUAGGCGGCCUGAGAGGGUGACCGGCGACAUGGGGACUGAGAGACGGCGCAGACUGGUAUGGGAGGCAGCAGUCGGGAGUAUUGCACAAUGGGGGCAAGUGUGAUGCAGCAGUGCCGCGUUCGUGAUGACGGCCUACGAGGUGUAAACCGAUGUCUCCGGUGACGAAGCGGGAGUGACGGUAAUGAAUAAAAAAGCACCGGCUAACUACGUG
rnacentral:rRNA from 1 species